rnacentral:rRNA from 1 species
CCUACGGGUGGCAGCAGUGGGGAAUAUUGCACAAUGGGGGAAACCCUGAUGCAGCGACGCCGCGUGAGUGAAGAAGUAAUUCGUUAUGUAAAGCUCUAUCAGCAGGGAAGAAAAUGAUGGUACCUGAGUAAGAAGCCCCGGCUAACUACGUGCCAGCAGCCGCGGUAAUACGUAGGGGGCAAGCGUUAUCCGGAUUUACUGGGUGUAAAGGGAGCGUAGACGGCAGUGCAAGUCUGGAGUGAAAGGCGGGGGCUCAACCCCCGGACUGCUCUGGAAACUGUACGGCUGGAGUGCAGGAGAGGUAAGUGGAAUUCCUAGUGUAGCGGUGAAAUGCGUAGAUAUUAGGAGGAACACCAGUGGCGAAGGCGGCUUACUGGACUGUAACUGACGUUGAGGCUCGAAAGCGUGGGGAGCAAACAGGAUUAGAUACACGAGUAGUC